UUGUAAACCACAGAUUCCUUUUUAGCUGCACCUUGGUCAGUGAGGCAAUUACUCUAAUAAUUAUCCCAAUUUGGGAAACAAGUAAGAUUUUUCAAAUUCACGUUCAAUCUGAUCUAUUAAAUAUUGUUGGAUCUUGAUAGAAAACUGACAUUUUCUGAGAAUUAUACCUGUACAUUUUUAUUAAUGAAUAAUGUUGAAUGGUGUGUACAUAGAUAAAACGGUAAAGAGCAUAUAUCACCACUUUUGGUGCCUUUCAGAAAUGUUACUGUUUGUAGUCAUGUUCAUUUUGAUGUCAAAAAUAAAGAAAUAUGUGAAAAAGUAAAUGAAAGAGAGCAAAUACAACAACAUUUUCAGGAGGACAGCUUACUUUUUAGUUUGCAAAACAUAGUGGCAAGUAAACUGAAGGAGCUGAAUGUCUCACAUUUUCUUCAGUAGCAUACCUGUUGAAGUGUCGUGAACAUGAGCACACCACUCAAUAAUGUCUGUCUACAGUUCAUUUUCUCACAGUAACUUUGAUUUAGCUUCAAUCAUUUAGCUGUGAAAUGUAUUGUCAAGUUAAUACUAUGUGUAAGUGUUGAAAGGGCUUUAAUUAAAUGGUUAUUAAUUUAAUGUAAUAAAGGAAUGCAAGGAUGUCAGCUGACAUUUAAAAAAAACGAUGGAGCAUUUGUGUACGGCUUGCCACCUAUCUCUGUUUAAAUUAUUGCUUUUUUUGCCAUUAUCUCUCUUUUUUAUCUGUAAUAUGUUGUUGCCUUUUGUAUGAUAACCAAGCUCUUCAUUGUAUAGUGUAAAAGUGUACAAUUCAUGAUUUAAAUGGGCAUUCAAGGAUGCCUCCACCGCCUUACCUGUUCACGGUACUUUUGUUUCUACGUUAUCCUCUUGGAGUCGUUGUCCAGAGCUGUCAGCAUUGCAGGAAAGGAGGACUUCUCGUGAGGCUCUGUUGCUCCUGUUGAAUUUAAAAAGCCGAACUCUGAAAUUGAACCCUGGUUACGCAACAAUACCACACAUGAAUGACAGUGGAAAAAAGACAGCUUGCAUGUAACUCUGGUCUCUAUGAGAAAUGGUAUCUCAGUACCAUAAUGUUAAAGAAACUAAAACACAAUUUUUUACCCAAACAUCAUAACUAACAGCUUUCAUUUAUUUAAUAAAGUUAGCUUUGUGUUAAACCAACUCA